rnacentral:rRNA from 1 species
UACAGAGGUCUCAAGCGUUGUUCGGAUUCAUUGGGCGUAAAGGGUGCGUAGGCGGCGCGGUAAGUCGGGUGUGAAAUCUCGGGAGCUUAACUCCCGAAACUGCAUUCGAUACUCGCCGUGCUUGGAGGACUGGAGAGGAGACUGGAAUUUAACGGUGUAGCGGUGAAAUGCGAUAGAUAUCGUAAAGGGAAGACCAGUGGCGGAAGGCGGGUCUC